rnacentral:rRNA from 1 species
GGAUCAAUUUGUUGGUCGUGCCUUUGGUGCGUACUGGCAUUAUUGGUUUCUCCCUUCUGACGAACCACGAUGUCAUUAAUUUGGUGUUGUGGGGAAUCAGGACUGUUACUUUGAAAAAAUUAGAGUGUUUAAAGCGGGCUCACGCUUGAAUACAUUAGCAUGGAAUAAUGAAAUAGGACGUUUGAUUCUAUUUUGUUGGUUUCUAGGAUCGACGUA